CAAGUGAGUUGGGGUACCUUCUACCACUUGGGAAUUCCCAGCACAUUUGGGAUGGCAGUAGAGAAAACAGGACUGGGAGUUAACUUACAUCUCGUGUGGGUGUCACUGACCUCUGAUGCCAAAGUCCUGGCCAUCCCAUUAGCCAACUGUUUUAUCUGACUCCCUGUGGUCAGCACGUCCACACGGUUCCUGCCUCCCUCCCUGGUGGGCUGUCACCUGCAAGUGUAAGAGGAAACAAGCCCUUUCCUCCCCAAGUCGCUGGCCCUCAAGGUUCAUCGUAGCUGAGGCUAAGAGAAUGAAGACAGCAGCCGUUUUCUCUAAGGUAAAAGCUGCCCACCACUGAAGAGGGCGCAGAAGAGGCACGGGGUGAAAGUCGGGGGCGCUUAGGAUCAGGUCUC